UACGAAGGGUGCAAGCGUUAGUCGGAAUUACUGGGCGUAAAGCGUGCGUAGGUGGUUUCUUAAGUCGGAUGUGAAAGCCCUGGGCUCAACCUGGGAAUGGCACUCGAUACUGGGAAGCUAGAGUGCGGUAGAGGAGGGUGGAAUUCCCGGUGUAGCGGUGAAAUGCGUAGAGAUCGGGAGGAACAUCAGUAGCGAAGGCGACCCUCUGGACCAGCACUGACGCUGAGGCACGAAAGCGUGGGGAGCAAACAGG
rnacentral:rRNA from 1 species